AGCAUUGUGGCGCAGCGGAAGCGCGCCGGGCUCAUAACCCGGAGGUCCCUAGAUCGAAACUAGGCAAUGCUA
rfam:Erysiphe necator strain c c-strain-scaffold_7981, whole genome shotgun sequence.